rnacentral:rRNA from 1 species
UACGGGGGGGGCAAGCGUUGUUCGGAAUUACUGGGCGUAAAGGGCGCGUAGGCGGCUGAGUUUGUCCCUCGUGAAAUCCCACGGCUCAACCGUGGAACUGCGGGGGAAACGGCUCGGCUUGAGUCCGGGAGAGGAGAGUGGAAUUCCCAGUGUAGCGGUGAAAUGCGUAGAUAUUGGGAGGAACACCGGUGGCGAAGGCGGCUCUCUGGACCGGUACUGACGCUGAGGCGCGAAAGCUAGGGGAGCAAACGGG